UACGAGGGGGGCAAGCGUUGUUCGGAAUUACUGGGCGUAAAGGGCUCGUAGGUGGCCAACUAAGUCAGACGUGAAAUCCCUCGGCUUAACCGGGGAACUGCGUCUGAUACUGGAUGGCUUGAGUUUGGGAGAGGGAUGCGGAAUUCCAGGUGUAGCGGUGAAAUGCGUAGAUAUCUGGAGGAAUACCGGUGGCGAAGGCGGCAUCCUGGACUAACACUGACGCUGAGGCGCGAAAGCUAGGGGAGCAAACGGG
rnacentral:rRNA from 1 species